CCGGCCCCCCGCCCCCGCCGUGACUCAGGGCUGUGGUUUCCCGUCUAUAAAUGGGAGGUGGAAGCGCCCGGUGUCGCCCAGAGCCAUGGCAGGCGCCCGGGACCCGUGAGCUGGGGGCACUGGGAGCCACUGGGAGGGACUGGGAGCCACUGGGAGGGACUGGGAGCCACUGGGAGGCACUGGGAGCAUGCUGGUGGGCUUUGGGAGGCACUGGGAGCAUACUGGGAGGAACUGGGAAGCACUGGGAGCACACUGGAAGCACACUGGGAGUGGACUGGGAGCACGCUGGUGGGCUUUGGGAGGCACUGGGAGCAUGCUGGGGGUGGACUGGGAGGGACUGGGAGGCACUGGGAGCACACUGGGAGUGGACUGGGAAGGACUGGGAGCCACUGGGAGCACGCUGGUGGGCUUUGGGAGGCACUGGGAGCACACUGGGAGGGAUUGGGAGGCACUGGAAGCAUACUGGGAGGGACUGGGAGCACACUGGGAGGGACUGGGAGGCACUGGGAGCACUGGGAGCUACUGGGAGCACAAGGGACUGGGAGCAUACUGGGAGCUACUGGGAGGGACUGGGAGGCACUGGGAGCACACUGGGAGGGACUGGGAGCACAUUGGGAGGGACUGGGAGCAUACUGGGAGGGACUGGGAGCACACUGGGAGGGACUGGGAGCACACUGGGAGGGACUGGGAGCAUACUGGGAGCACACUGGGAGGGACUGGAAGCAUACUGGGAGCACACUGGGAGGCACUGGGAGCACACUGGAAGGGACUGGGAGCACACUGGAAGGGACUGGGAGCACACUGGGAGGCACUGGGAGCAUACUGGGAGCACUGGGAGCACACUGGGAGGGACUGGGAGCAUACUGGGAGGGACUGGGAGCACACUGGGAGCUACUGGGAGGGACUGGGAGCAUACUGGGAGCACACUGGGAGGGACUGGGAGGCACUGGGAGCACACUGGGAGCUACUGGGAGGGACUGGGAGCUACUGGGAGCACACUGGGAGGGACUGGGAGCACACUGGGAGCACUGGGAGCUACUGGGAGCUACUGGGAGGGACUGGGAGCAUACUGGGAGGGACUGGGAGCAUACUGGGAGCACUGGGAGGCACUGGGAGGGGGUAACUGGGGGGGGGGCGGUG
rnacentral:lncRNA from 1 species